AGAAUCAACGCUGGCGGCGUGCCUAACACAUGCAAGUCGAACGCGAAAGCCCCGCAAGGGGUCAGUAGAGUGGCAAACGGGUGAGUAACACGUGGGUGAUCUGCCUCAGAGUGGGGGAUAACGACCCGAAAGGGUCGCUAAUACCGCAUAACAUCCUGCCUUUGGAUAGGUGGAGAUCAAAGCCGGGGAUCCGCAAGGACCAGGCGCUUAGAGAGGAGCCCGCGGCCGAUUAGCUAGUUGGUGAGGUAACGGCUCACCAAGGCGACGAUCGGUA
rnacentral:rRNA from 1 species